rnacentral:rRNA from 1 species
UACGAAGGGGGCUGGCGUUGUUCGGAAUUACUGGGCGUAAAGCGCGUGUAGGCGGGUCUUUUAAGUCAGGGGUGAAAUGCCAAGGCUCAACCUUGGAACUGCCUUUGAUACUGGAGAUCUUGAGUCCGGGAGAGGUGAGUGGAACUGCGAGUGUAGAGGUGAAAUUCGUAGAUAUUCGCAAGAACACCAGUGGCGAAGGCGGCUCACUGGCCCGGAACUGACGCUGAGACGCGAAAGCGUGGGGAGCAAACAGG